AAUAGAUACCCGGGUAGUCCACGCCGUAAACGUUGGGCACUAGGUGUGGGGUCUAUUCAACGGACUCCGUGCCGUAGCUAACGCAUUAAGUGCCCCGCCUGGGGAGUACGGCCGCAAGGCUAAAACUCAAAAGGAAUUGACGGGGGGCCCGCACAAGCAGCGGAGCAUGUUGCUUAAUCGAGGCAACGCGAAGAACCUUACCUGGGUUUGUACAUGCACAGGACGCCGGCAGAGAUGUCGGUUCCCGUUGUGGCCUGUGUGCAGGUGGUGCAUGGCUGUCGUCAGCUCGUGUCGUGAGAUGUUGGGUUAAGUCCCGCAACGAGCGCAACCCUUGUCUCAUGUUGCCAGCACGUAAUGGUGGGGACUCGUGAGAGACUGCCGGGGUCAACUCGGAGGAAGGUGGGGAUGACGUCAAGUCAUCAUGCCCCCUUAUGUCCAGGGGCUUCACGCAUGCUACAAUGGCCGGUACAAAGGGCUGCGAUCCCGGUAAGGGGAGCGAAUCCCAAAAGGCCGGUCUCAGUUCGGAUUGGGGU
rnacentral:rRNA from 1 species